rnacentral:rRNA from 1 species
AACACAUGCAAGUCGAACGGGCGUAGCAAUACGUCAGUGGCAGACGGGUGAGUAACACGUGGGAACGUACCUCUUGGUUCGGAACAACACAGGGAAACUUGUGCUAAUACCGGAUAAGCCCUUACGGGGAAAGAUUUAUCGCCGAAAGAUCGGCCCGCGUCUGAUUAGCUAGUUGGUAGGGUAAUGGCCUACCAAGGCGACGAUCAGUAGCUGGUCUGAGAGGAUGAUCAGCCACAUUGGGACUGAGACACGGCCCAAACUCCUACGGGAGGCAGCAGUGGGGAAUAUUGGACAAUGGGGGCAACCCUGAUCCAGCCAUGCCGCGUGAGUGAUGAAGGCCCUAGGGUUGUAAAGCUCUUUUGUGCGGGAAGAUAAUGACGGUACCGCAAGAAUAAGCCCCGGCUAACUUCGUUGCCAGCCGCCGCGGUAAUUC